CUGAGGUGGGCAAUUGAACUCGGAGAAUUUGAUAUAGAGUUCAAGCCCCGUCCAUCUAUCAAAGCUCAGGCCUUAGCUGCCUUCAUUGCAGAACUCACCAAGGCCUCGGGGGCUAGAUGGUAGCUCGAGCUCGACCACAGGUGUGUGGAAAAUUUUCGUAGAUGGAGCAUCAAACUCCUCGGGCUCGGGCUCGGGCGCAGGCUAAUCAUAAGCCCGGACAUGCUCAUAAACAUUCAAUGCGCACUCAAGUGCGAAUUUGAGGCGACCAAUAAUGAGGCAGAGUAUGGCCGUCAUCAUAGCCAUGGAACUCGCCAUAAAUCUCGAGCUUGAAAAUAUCAAAAUUUCCAGUGAUUCCCAGUUGGUGGUUGGACAAAUCGAAGGGACGUUCGAAAUGAAGGACGAGAAGAUGAGCUUAUACUGCUUGAAAGUGCAUGAUCUCCAGAGAAAGUUCAAAAGUUGUGAAAUUGUGAAAAUUUCUCGGGUUGAGAAUUGUAAGGCCAAUGCCUUGUCAAGAUUGGUGUUUAGGGGAAUAGAUGGGCUUGACAAGACAAUCCACGUUAGAAUUGUAACCGAGCCAAGCAUCAACCAAACCAUAGACGUCAUGGAUAUUGAUAAUGAGCCAUCGUGGAUGGAUCCAAUAGUGGACUUCAUAAAGUAUGGCAGUCUUCCAGAUGAUCCUCGAGCAUCGAGAAGCAUUCGGUCUAAAGCUCCGAGGUAUUGCAUGAUUGAAGGAGUUUUAUUUCGUAGGAGCCUCACACUUUCAUACCUCAGAUGCCUUAGGCCUUCCGAAUCAUCCCAGGCCUUAGAAGAAGUUCAUGAAGGAGUAUGUGGGAACCAUCAAGAAGCUCAGGCAUUAGCCUUCAAGCUCAUAAAGUAUGGAUAUUAUUGGCCAACCAUGAAGAAAGACGCCCAGGAAUAUGUUAAGAAGUGUGACAAGUGCCAAAGAUUUGGCAAUGUCAUCCACCCUCCAGCAGAGGACUCACUAGCAUUAAUUGCACAGCCCCAUUUGAGCAGUAGGGAAUCGACAUCCUUGGUCCCUUUCCAAUAACUAGGGGGCAAUUGAAGUUUGUGGUUGUGGCUAUAGAAUAUUUCACUAAGUGGGUGGAGGCCGAGCCUUUAGCAACAAUUUCAGAGCCGAAGUUAAGAAGUUUCAUUUGGAGAUCCGUCAUAUGCAGGUUCGAGAUACGAAAGUCCUCAUAACUGAUAAUGGCAGGUAGUUUGACAUGCACAAUUUAAAAACUUCUGUUCCAACCUAGGGAUUGAUCACCAUUUGACGUCGAUUUCCCAUCAUCCAAGUAAUGGUCUCACUGAAGUGACCAAUCGGAUUAUAUUGCAAGACCUCCGUACAAGGAUUGGGGAUGCAAGAGGUUCCUGGUCUGACGAGUUACCUUCCAUACUUUGGACGUAUAGAACGUCCCACAGAACUGCUACGGGGGAAACCCCCUUCAUGUUGGCUUUUGGUAUUGAGGCCACCAUCACUGUUGAAGUCAGGUUGCCCAGCCAAAGAAGGCUUGAGCCUGAAGAUGCAGGGCGCACCACUGAACACCUCGACCUCUUGGAAGAAGUUCGUGAUCGGGUAACUUUAAGAAUGACCUCCUACCAAGAUAAAACAGCAAAGUACUUCAAUAAAAAGUGAGGACGCGGAGAUUCAGAGUUGGAGAACUUGUGUUAAGAAGGGCCGAAGCAGCAAGUCAUGCCCCGGGCAAGCUAGGACCAGUUUGGGAAGGGCCCUUCGAAGUCAUACGAUAGCUCCAAGGAGGCGCAAACAGUUUAAGGGAUACAUCAGGAAGACCACUUCCAAGACCAUGGAACGCCGAAAAUUUAAAGAUAUAUUACAAGUAACUUGGUCUUCCAGUUAUCAGUAGUCAGGCCUGCACGUCAAGGUUCACGUUUUGUAUUCUCAGGCCUGCGUGCCAAGUUUUAUUUUUUGGUAGUCAGGCCUACGUGCCAAGGUUCACGUUUUUAGUUGUCAGGCCUGCGUG
rnacentral:lncRNA from 1 species